UCUUUAGACUGAGUUUCCAUUGUGGGGGGAAAGGUGGGGUGUGAAACAGAACGGCUGCGUAGUAGCAAUAUUAUUAACUAGCGCUAGGAGUGCCCAGCGCUGCGUGGGAAUUGGUCGAAACCCCCCCAAAUUUUGUAGUUUUAAAAAAUGGGAUAGUGUAAUUUGCGAAUUUUAGGGCUCAUGCAAACACACACUAACCCAAGGCUCCAACCUUAGCUGGGGAACAUCUUUCCUGGCUCUGAAUCAAUUUGUUUUUGUCUCUGUGUGUGGAAGCUAAUGCUUAAUAAGGGUUAAUUUGGUCCGCCAUCUUGAUUCAAAAUGGCGUCCGGCAUCCAAACGUUGACAAAGACUGCUGGCCCCACCUUGAGUAUGUUAGAAACUCAGAUAUACAAGCUAAUCGCAAAAUGCCACCUUAAACCUAGGUUGCGGUUGCCACUGCGGAAUGUCUGGGUGCCAUAUAUUUUUUUUAUGAGACAUUAAUAAUAAUGAUGAUAAUAAUUUCAUUUUUAUACCACUUUAUAUUUUAAAUAAAUAAUCUCAGAGCGGUUUACAACACAUUAAAACAACAAAUGAAACAAUCCAGACUAAAACAAAUUCAAGCUUUAAGAAAAAUAUUUCAGAUCCUUCUCUAAGUGACAUUUUGCUUUGCCCAUGUUUGUUUACCUACUUACCGGUAAUUUAUAGAGCUGCCCCAUAGCAGAAGUACUCUAGGAAGGCAGGGUGGUAUAGUGGCUAGAGCAGAGCUUUCCAAACUCUGUGUCAUGACACGUUAGUGUGUCACACGAAUGCUCCCUGCGUUCCUCCCAGACUGGAAUUGGUUUAGUUCAACAUCCAGUUUGCUAGUAAAAAUGAAUUACGCAGUGGGUUAAACCACAGAGCCUACGACUUGCCGAUCAGAAGGUCGGCGGUUCGAAUCCCCGCGACGGGGUGAGCUCCCGUUGCUCGGUCCCUGCUCCUGCCAACCUAGCAUUUCGAAAGUACAUCAAAGUGCAAGUAGAUGAAUAGGUACUGCUCCGGCGGAAAGGUAAACGGCCUUUCCGUGCGCUGCUCUGGUUUGCCAGAAGCGGCUUUGUCAUGCUGGCCACAUGACCUGGAAGCUGUACGCUGGCUUCCUUGGCCAAUAAAGCGAGAUGAGCGCCGCAACCCCAGAGUCGGUCACAACUGGACCUAAUGGUCAGGGGUCCCUUUACCUUUACCUUUACUCCCAGUUCCUAGUCUAGCGCUCUAACCGCUGCACAGCACUGGCUCACAUGUGCUGUGCUGCUAUACGGUCCUUUCCAAAGUCUUUCAGGAUUUUGGCUGUUUGUCUGAUGGGGUGAUAUGUGAGGGAUCAGCAACGUGGUGUAUUUCAGAUGUUGUUGGACCCAAGCUCCCAUCAUCUCUGACCAGAGGCCAUGCUAGCUGGGGCUGAUGAGAGUUGCAGCCCGACAACAUCUGGAGGCGUGGACCAUGUUGCCUGUCCCUGAUCUGUGCAGUGCUCUCAAUCUUCCAGCCCUGUUGUUGUUUUUUCAGUGACAGAAAUCAGUGCUGGGAAAAGGACCAAGUGUGGGGUUUCCUAGAAACUUUAUACUAGGAAUCCCGGGGUUCUCUCCCAAAGUCUGGAAGCUGGCACCUAUUGAAAAGCAAAACAUUUUCCUAGGCAGGGAUGGAAUUUUAAUAGACAAUUCAUGCGUCACGCUUGUUAACUGCAAAAUACUCUCACAGAUCCCGAGCAAAAUGUAUGCUUUGCACCCGGGGCAAUAAGAACCAUAGCUGUCAACGUUUCCCUUUUUUUAAAGGAAAUUCCCUUAUUCCAAAUAGGAUUCCUCGCAAGAAAAGGGAAAAGUUGACAGCUAUGAUAAGAACUGUGCCAUAAACACAGAUUGAAAGCGCAUUCAGAAUUUCCCCCGUCUGGUUGUGCUGUCUGGGAAUGAUGGGAGUUGUAGCACAAAACCCUCUAGAGGGCACCAGGUUGGGGAAUGCUGGCAUAGUUUUUGUUUGUGGUGGGGAGUGAUUAGAAUGUUGGGAGUUGGAAUGGGAAGAUCUGAGUUCAAAUCUUCCCUCAGCCAUGAAGCACGCUUAGGUGAGCUUGGUCAACUUAUUACUUGCUUUGCAGGGUGGUCAUGAGGAUAAAAUGGAAGUGUGAGAACAACAUGCACCAAGGAUGUACAGAUGUUAAGCUUGUUGUGGUCUUUGUUUUCACUAGCCUGGGAUUUGGUGCAAAUGUCAUAUAUUUGGAAUUUUUAAAAAAAUCAGCCUCGGAACUAGUUCUGAGCAUCCAAACUGAACAGAACUCCCAAUCUUUUCAUGCAAAAUUCUGCUUCUGGUUUUCACCAGUAUUGUUCCUUUCGCCAGUAUAAUUUAGGGUGUGUACAUGGAGUCAUUUUGUUGCUUCUAUUGUUAAAAAUAUUAGGGGGAUGGAAAUCUUUGCUGCUCUACAGCAGACCACUAAUUCAUAGAGCUACCAGCCAUUCCAGAAUCCACCGUCUGCCUGAGUAGACCAUUCCUUGGAGGAAUGGCAGGAUGCUCAGGCAGUAAAUAAAGACACCCCCUCCUUUUUUAGCCACGCUUUAACCAAAGUUUGUGAGCUGUAAGUGGUGCUUAAAAGCUUUUGAACGGCUACUACUAGAAAUCUCCAAGAUGUGCUCCUAACAUGUGGAAGGAAUGUGUGUGUCUGAAUUUCCUUUGGGUAUCGUAAUUAAGGUCACUUGAUGCUGGUUAAUUGCAUGAUUACUUUUAUUUCAAUUUCUUUCCUGCCCUUCAGUGUAAGGUCCCAGCAAUUAAAAAACCCCAAAUUAAAAACAGUGCAUUGAUUAUUUUGUUUAUUUAUUUAUUAAAAAAAUAUAUUUACAUCAAAUCACUUUGCAACGGUUAUGCCUAAAACCAUGUAAAAAUGUUAAAAAACCACAAAUCAGCUAAAUAUUAUGGAAAGAUGUAUUCUUAAUUGGCUGCCUAAGCCUGGCAGAAUAGAAACAUUUUCAGCGGGCAUUUAAAUGUUGAAACAGAAGACGCCGGCUUAAUCUCUACCUGGCAGAGUAUUCCAUAAUUUAAAACAAGUGAUGCACAUUUAGUGAUCAUUUGGGUGGGCUGUUUCCCUCCCCUUAUGAAUUAAAUUUAUAUCCCACCCAUCCUUUCAAAGGAGCCCAAGGUGGUGAACACACAAGUUAUAAAACAAAUAAAAACACUUUAAAAUUU